rnacentral:rRNA from 1 species
AUUGAACGCUGGCGGCAUGCCUUACACAUGCAAGUCGAACGGAAACAGGUCUUCGGAUGCUGACGAGUGGCGAACGGGUGAGUAAUACAUCGGAACGUGCCCGAGAGUGGGGGAUAACGAGGCGAAAGCUUUGCUAAUACCGCAUACGAUCUCAGGAUGAAAGCAGGGGACCGCAAGGCCUUGCGCUCACGGAGCGGCCAAUGGCAGAUUAGGGAGUUGGUGGGAUAAAAGCUUACCAAGCCGACGAUCUGUAGCUGGUCUGAGAGGACGACCAGCCACACUGGGACGGAGACACGACCCAGACUCCUACGGGAGGCAGCAGUGGGGAAUUUUGGACAAUGGGCGCAAGCCUGAUCCAGCCAUGCCGCGUGCAGGAUGAAGGCCUUCGGGUUGUAAACUGCUUUUGUACGGAACGAAAAGACUCUGGUUAAUACCUGGGGUCCAUGACGGUACCGUAAGAAUAAGCACCGGCUAACUACGUGCCAGCCGCCGCCGUAAAAC